GAUGAACGCUGGCGGCGUGCUUAACACAUGCAAGUCGAGCGAGUGAGUUCUUCGGAACGAUCUAGCGGCGGACGGGUGAGUAACACGUGGGCAACCUGCCUCAUAGAGGGGAAUAGCCUCCCGAAAGGGAGAGUAAUACCGCAUAACAUCGUUGAAGGGCAUCCUUCGAUGAUCAAAGGAGCAAUCCGCUAUGAGAUGGGCCCGCGGCGCAUUGGCUAGUUGGUGAGGUAACGGCUCACCAAGGGGACGAUGCGUAGCCGACCUGAGAGGGUGAUCGGCCACAUUGGGACUGAGACACGGCCCAGACUCCUACGGGAGGCAGCAGUGGGGAAUAUUGCAUAAUGGGGGAAACCCUGAUGCAGCAACGCCGCGUGGGUGAUGACGGCCUUCGGGUUGUAAAGCUCUGUCUUUGGGGACGAUAAUGACGGUACCCAAGGAGGAAGUCACGGCUAACUACGUGCCAGCAGCCGCCGUAA
rnacentral:rRNA from 1 species